UGAGUACGAGACGCUAAGGCGUUGAAGCAGUCUAUGUCAGACUUCCAAGAAAAGCUCGCAAUGUCAUAAACAAAAGAUGCCUGUACCAUAACCGACACAGGUGGGUAGGUAGAGUAUACUAAGGGGCGCGAGAUAACUCUCUCUAAGGAACUCGGCAAAAUGACUCCGUAACUUCGGGAGAAGGAGUGCCUUAUUUUUAUAAGGUUGCAAUAACAAGAUCCAAGCAACUGUUUACCAAAAACACAGGUCUCCGCUAAGUCGUAAGACGAUGUAUGGGGGCUGACGCCUGCCCAGUGCCAGAAGGUUAAAGAAGUUGGUUAGUUUCGGCGAAGCUGAUGACUGAAGCCCUGGUGAACGGCGGCCGUAACAAUAACGGUCCUAAGGUAGCGAAAUUCCUUGUCGGGUAAGUUCCGACCCGCACGAAAGGCGUAAUGAUUUGGAUACUGUCUCGGAGAGGGGCUCGGUGAAAUAGACUUGUCUGUGAAGAUGCGGACUACCUGCACCUGGACAGAAAGACCCUAUGAAGCUUUACUGUAACUUGAGAUUGAAAUUGGACUUUAUUUGCGCAGUAUAGGUGGGAGACGUUGAGAAUAUUCUUGCGGGAAUAUUGGAGUCAUCAGUGAGAUACCACUCUUGUAAUGUUAGAUUUCUAACUUUGUAUCAUGAUCUGGUCAAAGGACAGUUUCAGGCGGGCAGUUUGACUGGGGCGGUCGCCUCCCAAACGGUAACGGAGGCGCACAAAGGUUUCCUCUGAACGUGUAGAAAUCGUAUCUAGAGUGUAAAGGCAUAAGGAAGCUUGACUGUGAGACCUACAAGUCGAGCAGGGACGAAAGUCGGUCUUAGUGAUCUGACGGUGCUGAGUGGAAAGGCCGUCACUCAACGGAUAUAAGUUACUCUAAGGAUAACAGGCUGAUCUCCCCCAAGAGUUCACAUCGACGGGGAGGUUUGGCACCUCGAUGUCGGCUCAUCGCAUCCUGGGGCGGUAGUACGUCCCAAGGGUUGGGCUGUUCGCCCAUGAAAGCGGUACGCGAGCUGGGUUCAGAACGUCGUGAGACAGUUCGGUCCAUAUCCGGUGUAGGCGUUAGAAUAUUGAGAGGAGCCUUCUUUAGUACGAGAGGACCGAGAAGGACAUACCUCUGGUGUACCAGUUAUCGUGCCAACGGUAAACGCUGGGUAGCUAUGUAUGGAGUGGAUAACCGCUGAAAGCAUCUAAGUGGGAAGCCCACCUCAAGAUAAG
rnacentral:rRNA from 1 species